rnacentral:rRNA from 1 species
GUGUCAGCAGCCGCGGUAAUACGGAGGGUGCAAACGUUGUUCGGAUUUACUGGGCGUAAAGGGCGCGUAGGCGGUUGGGCUUAAUUAGACGUGAAAUCCUUUGGCUUACCCAAAGAAUUGCAUCUAAUAUUACCCGACUCGAGUAUGAAAGAGGAGAGUGGAAUUGUAGGUGGAGCGGUGAAAUGCGUAGAUAUCUACAGGAACACCGGAUGCGAAGGCGGCUCUCUGGCUCAUCACUGACGCUGAGGCGCGAAAGCUAGGGGAUCAAACAGGAUUAGAUACCCUGGUAGUCCUAGCCGUAAACGAUGGAUACUAAUCGUGGGUUUCUAUCAAAGAUGCCCGUGAUGUAGCUAACGCAUUAAGUAUCCCGCCUGGGUAGUACGGUCGCAAGGCUAAAACUUAAAUGAAUUGACGGGU